rnacentral:rRNA from 1 species
GGGCCCGCACAAGCAGUGGAGCAUGUGGUUUAAUUCGAUGCAACGCGAAGAACCUUACCAGGGUUUGACAUCCUGCGAAUCUCUUGGAAACGAGAGAGUGCCUUCGGGAACGCAGUGACAGGUGGUGCAUGGCUGUCGUCAGCUCGUGUCGUGAGAUGUUGGGUUAAGUCCCGCAACGAGCGCAACCCACGUCGUUAGUUGCCAGCAUUUAGUUGGGCACUCUAGCGAGACCGCCGGUGAUAAACCGGAGGAAGGUGUGGAUGACGUCAAGUCAUCAUGCCCCUUACAUCCUGGGCUACACACGUACUACAAUGCUACGGACAAAGAGCAGCAAGUUCGCGAGGACAAGCAAAUCUCAUAAACCGUGGCUCAGUUCAGAUCGUAGGCUGCAACUCGCCUACGUGAAGGAGGAAUCGCUAG